rnacentral:rRNA from 1 species
ACGUAUGUCGCAAGCGUUAUCCGGAUUUAUUGGGCGUAAAGCGCGUCUAGGUGGUUUGGUAAGUCUGAUGUGAAAAUGCGGGGCUCAACUCCGUAUUGCGUUGGAAACUGCCUAACUAGAGUAUCGGAGAGGUGGGCGGAACUACAAGUGUAGAGGUGAAAUUCGUAGAUAUUUGUAGGAAUGCCGAUAGAGAAGUCAGCUCACUGGACGAAUACUGACACUGAAGCGCGAAAGCAUGGGGAGCAAACAGG